AANACCGGGCAAAAGGAAAAAAGGUGCUUGCUCUUGAUUUAAUUUUGAACGAGUGGCGGACGGGUGAGUAACACGUGGGUAACCUGCCCUUAAGUGGGGGAUAACAUUUGGAAACAGAUGCUAAUACCGCAUAAAUCCAAGAACCGCAUGGUUCUUGGCUGAAAGAUGGCGUAAGCUAUCGCUUUUGGAUGGACCCGCGGCGUAUUAGCUAGUUGGUGAGGUAACGGCUCACCAAGGCAAUGAUACGUAGCCGAACUGAGAGGUUGAUCGGCCACAUUGGGACUGAGACACGGCCCAAACUCCUACGGGAGGCAGCAGUAGGGAAUCUUCCACAAUGGACGCAAGUCUGAUGGAGCAACGCCGCGUGAGUGAAGAAGGCUUUCGGGUCGUAAAACUCUGUUGUUGGAGAAGAAUGGUCGGCAGAGUAACUGUUGUCGGCGUGACGGUAUCCAACCAGAAAGCCACGGCUAACUACGUGCCAGCAGCCGCGGUAAUACGUAGGUGGCAAGCGUUAUCCGGAUUUAUUGGGCGUAAAGCGAGCGCAGGCGGUUUUUUAAGUCUGAUGUGAAAGCCCUCGGCUUAACCGAGGAAGUGCAUCGGAAACUGGGAAACUUGAGUGCAGAAGAGGACAGUGGAACUCCAUGUGUAGCGGUGAAAUGCGUAGAUAUAUGGAAGAACACCAGUGGCGAAGGCGGCUGUCUGGUCUGUAACUGACGCUGAGGCUCGAAAGCAUGGGUAGCGAACAGGAUUAGAUACCCUGGUAGUCCAUGCCGUAAACGAUGAAUGCUAGGUGUUGGAGGGUUUCCGCCCUUCAGUGCCGCAGCUAACGCAUUAAGCAUUCCGCCUGGGGAGUACGACCGCAAGGUUGAAACUCAAAGGAAUUGACGGGGGCCCGCACAAGCGGUGGAGCAUGUGGUUUAAUUCGAAGCAACGCGAAGAACCUUACCAGGUCUUGACAUCUUUUGAUCACCUGAGAGAUCAGGUUUCCCCUUCGGGGGCAAAAUGACAGGUGGUGCAUGGUUGUCGUCAGCUCGUGUCGUGAGAUGUUGGGUUAAGUCCCGCAACGAGCGCAACCCUUAUGACUAGUUGCCAGCAUUUAGUUGGGCACUCUAGUAAGACUGCCGGUGACAAACCGGAGGAAGGUGGGNAUGACGUCAAAUCAUCAUGCCCCUUAUGACCUGGGGCUACACACGUGCUACAAUGGGAUGGUACAACGAAGUUGCGAGAACCGCGAGGUCAAGCUAAUCUCUUAAAGCCAUUCUCAGUUCGGAACNNNGGCUGCAACUCCCCUAACCGAAAUCCGAAAUCGCUAUUAAUCCGCGAACCACCCCCCCCGGGGAAANNNUUUUCCCGGGCUUUUUAAACC
rnacentral:rRNA from 1 species